CUCUUUAAGAUCGUAGGGAUGUCGAUCUUGCGUCACGUUAAACAACAGGAACAAAAAGCAUGCAAGAGAACCACUGCGCUCACCUGAUAUGCUAAAGCACCAUUGGCACAUGCAGAGUGAUCCAUGGAGCUCCAUUUCCCUGUGUGUAAAUGACAGUAGGAGGUCGGAUAUGAGAUGCAUGUCAGCACAUGUCCCAGUCUGUGUUCCAUCGAGGAAGGAACCAUUGGACUGGUCAACGGAACCUGAGACCGUGAAGCCUGGACAUGCAGAACAAGCUCCAAAAUGGAAAGUGUCAGGGAUCUCCAAGCCUUCCAGCUUCAGCAGAAUCCAGGAUAUAACCAUCAUGUGGUGGGAUGAUCUUGAGCCCUUUUUCCCUCUGGUCCAAUGUGGUUCACCUUGUAAACAUCCACUGGAGAUGCUUGAAGGAGUUUGAUGACCGGUGUGUGAAAGAUUUUGAGAUGCUUUUCAAGCAACAGAAAGAUGAAGACCUCAUGAACACCCUAGCGGAGCUAAAAUUCUUUCUAAUGUUGCUUCCAGAUGUGUAAAUCUGCAAUAGAUUUGUACUUAGUACUGUUGCUAUCGGCCUUGCGUAGGGCAUGCAGCCUGAAAA